rnacentral:rRNA from 1 species
CAGUCGCCACGGGAAUACGAAGGGUGCAAGCGUUAAUCGGAAUUACUGGGCGUAAAGCGUGCGUAGGCGGUGAGUUAAGUCUGCUGUGAAAUCCCCGGGCUCAACCUGGGAAUGGCGGUGGAUACUGGCUCGCUAGAGUGUGUCAGAGGAUGGUGGAAUUCCCGGUGUAGCGGUGAAAUGCGUAGAGGUCGGGAGGAACAUCAGUGGCGAAGGCGGCCAUCUGGGACAACACUGACGCUGAGGCACGAAAGCGUGGGGAGCAAACAGGAUUAGAUACCCGAGUAGUCCCUGUCUCUUAUAA